GUAAAGUACUUUCAGUCGUGAGGAAGGCGGCGUCGUUAAUAGCGGCGUUGUUUGACGUUAGCGACAGAAGAAAGCACCGGCUAACUCCGUGCCAGCAGCCGCGGUAAUACGGAGGGUGCGAGCGUUAAUCGGAAUUACUGGGCGUAAAGCGCAUGCAGGUGGUUUGUUAAGUCAGAUGUGAAAGCCCGGGGCGUCAACCUCGGAAUUGCAUUUGUAAACUAGGCAGACUAGAGUACUGUAGAGGGGGGUAGGAAUUUCAGGUGUAGCGGUGAAAUGCGUAGAGAUCUGAAGGAAUACCGGUGGCGAAGGCGGCCCCCUCGGACAGAUACUGACACUCAGAUGCGAAAGCGUGGGGAGCAAACAGGAUUAGAUACCCUGGUAG
rnacentral:rRNA from 1 species